UACGUAGGGGGCAAGCGUUGUCCGGAUUUAUUGGGCGUAAAGAGCGUGUAGGCGGUUAGGUAGGUCCGUUGUGAAAACUCGAGGCUCAACCUCGAGACGCCGAUGGAAACCAUCUGACUAGAGUCCGGAAGAGGAGAGUGGAAUUCCUGGUGUAGCGGUGAAAUGCGCAGAUAUCAGGAAGAACACCCGUGGCGAAGGCGGCUCUCGUGGGACGGUACUGACGCUGAGACGCGAAAGCGUGGGGAGCGAACAGG
rnacentral:rRNA from 1 species